GAUGAAGAACGCAGCGAAAUGCGAUACGUAAUGUGAAUUGCAGAAUUCAGUGAAUCAUCGAAUCUUUGAACGCAUAUUGCGCUCUCUGGUAUUCCGGAGAGCAUGCUUGUUUGAGUAUCAGUAAACACCUCAACUCCCUUUUCUUUUUUGAAAUUGGAGCUGGACUUGAGUGAUCCCAACGCUUUCUUCCAAGAAAGUGGCGGGUUGCUUGAAAUGCAGGUGCAGCUGAACUUUUCUCUGAGCUAUAAGCAUAUCUAUUUAGUCUGCCUAAAAAACAGAUUAUUACCUUUGCUGCAGCUAACAUAAAGGAGACUAGUUCUUGUGCUGACUGAUGCAGGAUUCACAGAGACAGCUUCGGCUGACUUUGCAAACUCGAUCUCAAAUCAAGUAAGACUACCCGCUGAACUUAAGCAUAUCAAUAAGCGGAGGA
rnacentral:misc_RNA from 1 species